AGUGAACGCUGGCGGUAGGCCUAACACAUGCAAGUCGAACGGCAGCACAGUAAGAGCUUGCUCUUACGGGUGGCGAGUGGCGGACGGGCGAGGAAUACAUCGGAAUCUACUUUUUCGUGGGGGACAACGUAGGGAAACUUACGCUAAUACCGCAUACGACCUACGGGUGAAAGCAGGGGAUCUUCGGACCUUGCGCGAUUGAAUGAGCCGAUGUCGGAUUAGCUAGUUGGCGGGGUAAAGGCCCACCAAGGCGACGAUCCGUAGCUGGUCUGAGAGGAUGAUCAGCCACACUGGAACUGAGACACGGUCCAGACUCCUACGGGAGGCAGCAGUGGGGAAUAUUGGACAAUGGGCGCAAGCCUGAUCCAGCCAUACCGCGUGGGUGAAGAAGGCCUUCGGGUUGUAAAGCCCUUUUGUUGGGAAAGAAAAGCAGCAGGUUAAUACCCCGCUGUUCUGACGGUACCCAAAGAAUAAGCACCGGCUAACUUCGUG
rnacentral:rRNA from 1 species